UCCGUCGAGCCGGAGUCGAACCAGCGACCUAUGGAUCUCUGCAUUCAAUCUUCUACAGUCCACCGCUCUGCCAACUGAGCUAUCGACGG
rnacentral:tRNA from 13 species